GACGAACGCUGGCGGCGUGCCUAAUACAUGCAAGUCGAGCGGACAGAUGGGAGCUUGCUCCCUGAUGUUAGCGGCGGACGGGUGAGUAACACGUGGGUAACCUGCCUGUAAGACUGGGAUAACUCCGGGAAACCGGGGCUAAUACCGGAUGCUUGUUUGAACCGCAUGGUUCAAACAUAAAAGGUGGCUUCGGCUACCACUUACAGAUGGACCCGCGGCGCAUUAGCUAGUUGGUGAGGUAAUGGCUCACCAAGGCAACGAUGCGUAGCCGACCUGAGAGGGUGAUCGGCCACACUGGGACUGAGACACGGCCCAGACUCCUACGGGAGGCAGCAGUAGGGAAUCUUCCGCAAUGGACGAAAGUCUGACGGAGCAACGCCGCGUGAGUGAUGAAGGUUUUCGGAUCGUAAAGCUCUGUUGUUAGGGAAGAACAAGUACCGUUCGAAUAGGGCGGUACCUUGACGGUACCUAACCAGAAAGCCACGGCUAACUACGUGCCAGCCGCCGCGGUAAUUCGUCGUGACUGGGAAAACCCCUGGG
rnacentral:rRNA from 1 species